GAGGUUAUAAGAUUCUGACCCUCCCUGAACUGCUCCUAAGAUCAGUGCUUGAUUUUGCAGAGCCUGCACAUGAUGGAUCAGCUGGCCCCACCCAGAUCAAUGAACUGGCUCAUCUGAUCUCGUGCCCCUCCUCCCCAACCCAGUAACUGACUGCGUAAGAAGACGGCUUCUACUCCCUAUGAUUUCAUCUCUGACCAAUCAGCACUCCUGAUUGGCUUCCCCUCUUCCACCAAGUUAUCCUUAAAAAUUCUGCUCCCUGAAUGCUCAAAUGCUCAGAGAGGCUGAUUUGAGUAAUAAUAAAACUCUGGUCUCCCACACAGCCGGCUCUGAGUGAAUUAGUCUUUCUCUAUUGCAAUUGCCCUGUCUUGACGAAUCUGCUCUGUCUAGGCAGCGGGCAAGGUCAGGUCAACCCCUUGGGCGGUUACAAAACCGCCUUUGCAAAAAUUAUAACUGAGGAAAUUAUGGCAGUGAAAGAGAUCAGAUCUAACUGACUCCAUCUUGCUUCUGACCUUCAAGCUGUCCUUGUACAUUCUUGGGUGGAUGCCAAACUAACUUUGGGAAGGAAUUCAGUUCAUGAUUUGACUCUGAAACAAAAUUGGCAUUGCAUUCUGGUGGAACAACUGAUGCCACCCAGACUUGUGACCCCCACCCAGGAACUGACAGAGGCACAGAGACAGUUUUGAUAACCCUGUGGUUUCAUCCCUGACCAAACCAAUCAGUAUUUCCCAUUCCCUAGCUCCCUGCCUGCCAAACUAUCCUUAAAACCCUAGCCUCCGCAUUCUCUGGGAGGCAGAUUUGAGAAUUGUCUCAUCUUCUCGCUUGGCUGGCCUUGCA
rnacentral:lncRNA from 10 species